UACGAAGGGGACUAGCGUUGUUCGGAAUCACUGGGCGUAAAGCGCACGUAGGCGGAUAUGUCAGUCAGGGGUGAAAUCCCGGGGCUCAACCUCGGAACUGCCUUUGAUACAGCAUAUCUUGAGUCCGAUAGAGGUGGGUGGAAUUCCUAGUGUAGAGGUGAAAUUCGUAGAUAUUAGGAAGAACACCGGUGGCGAAGGCGGUCUGCUGGGCCAGUACUGACGCUGAGGCGCGACAGCGUGGGGAGCAAACAGG
rnacentral:rRNA from 1 species